GCGCCCAUAGCUCAAUGGUAGAGCAGAUCCCUCUUAAGGAUAAGGUUGAAGGUCCGAAUCCUUCUGGGCGCA
rnacentral:tRNA from 1 species